rnacentral:rRNA from 1 species
UACGUAGGGGGCUAGCGUUGUCCGGAAUCAUUGGGCGUAAAGCGCGUGUAGGCGGCCCGGUAAGUCCGCUGUGAAAGUCCAGGGCUCAACCCUGGGAUGCCGGUGGAUACUGUCGGGCUCGAGUCCGGAAGAGGCGAGUGGAAUUCCUGGUGUAGCGGUGAAAUGCGCAGAUAUCAGGAGGAACACCAAUGGCGAAGGCAGCUCGCUGGGACGUGACUGACGCUGAGGCGCGAAAGCCAGGGGAGCAAACGGG